rnacentral:ncRNA from 1 species
ACAAACGCGGGAGGCUCUGACACACGGUCCCCAACCCGGUCGCCUUGGAUCGUGCCGAGCCACUGGCGAGACCGUCCCGCGAACGG